UACGGAGGGGGCAAGUGUUUCUCGCAUUGACUGGGCAUAAAGGGCACGUAGGUCGAUUGUCGUUAGUAGGAUCACUGAAAUACUGUGGGCUAACUACAGACUGUGGUCUUACUGUGACGCUAAUCUGGAGUGGAGCUCAGGUUUAUAGAAUUCUUAACGGAGGGGUGGAAUCCAACGAGGUUAAGAGGAAUGCCUUCUGGUGAAAGCGAUUUUCCGGGGUGAACUGACGCUUAGGUGCGAAAGCAUGGGGAUCAAAUAGG
rnacentral:rRNA from 1 species